GCCAGAAGAGGUACCACUGGACAUAGAAAGCAAAUGGAGAGACAUGGCAAGGAGAAAGGAUGUCAGUACUGAAGCUACUGCUAAGAGCCAAGAAAGGGGCUGGAAAGAGGACUCAGCUGUCAAGAACACUUGCUUCCUUCCAGACAACUCAGGUUCAACUCCCAGAAUCUUCGUAGGGGCUCACAACUGUGUGAACCUCCAGUCCCAGGGGGGAAUCUGAAACCUCUUCUGGUCUGUGCAAGCACCAGGCACAAAAGUGGUACACAGAUACACACAGAAGCUAAACACCCAUACACAUAAAAUAAAAAUGUAAAAAGGAUGAAUUAAGAGUCCUGUAAACACCACAGGAAGAUGAUGCUCAGAGCCCCCGAGUACCUGACUGUUCUUGCCAUGGAUUCAUGGGACAGAACCAGGUAAUAUCCAGUAUGUAAGAACUUGAGCAUAGUAGAUACUCAGAAUGUGAGUUUGUCGUUGAUUUGUCAUUGAUUUAAAAACAAAUAGAAACAGGACAAUGUGUGAGCGUAAACACCUACGUGACAGGCAAGUCGGACAUUGAUUGUUGGUACAACCAUGUGCAAGAGUCGCUUGGCUACUUUCACUUCCUAUAAACUGUGUUAUUAUAAGAAAACUUUAAUGGGAAAGAGAACCUGAGAUUUCCCACCAUGUAUUCCAGCCCAUCAUCCAUGAAGCAUUUAUGGAAGUCUAGAUUCUGCUAGCCAGCACAAGUUUCUCAAAAACAAGUCUUCACAUCCCUUUUACCCAGGAUCUACUUUCCAUCCCUGCAAAACAGUGCCUAGAGAUGUAGCCCAGCUGGUGGAGUGCUUGUCUCUUGUGUUCGAAUCCCUGUGUUUGAUAGCCAGCACUACAUAAACUGGGUGUGGUGGUGUACACCAAUAAUCCCAGCACCUAGGAGGUAGAGGCAAGAGGAUCAGAAUGUCAAGAUCAAGACAUAGAGCACACUAAAUCAGUGGAUCAACCAAAAACCAAUUGUAACAGGGGCCCAGACCUUAGUGCAACUGACUCCAUGAUGCAAACGCCAUACUGUGAAACUCAGCUUCUCCAGUUUAUUGUCCUAGCCAACUCUUCCUUUCAUUUUGUCUGCCCUAUGUCUGUAUUUUCCCAUACUGGACAGGAUGAGAAGUUGACUUUCGAGCCUGGACUCCCACUUCUCCACUCACUGCCCAGUGAACAGAUUUGUGCUAUUAGUGCUCAGCCUCAGUUUCCCCUUUCAUUUUACAACACCAAGUAUGUCUCUUGGGAGGGCCUUCUCUCUGGGACCAACAGAUGGCAGAUAAAACCUCUCACCCCUUGCUCUAUGCAUCUUGUUUACCUGACUGCCCCUGAUCUGUUUCAUUUUAAAUAACCUGGUAAU
rnacentral:lncRNA from 1 species